GACAGAGGGUGCAAACGUUGCUCGGAAUUACUGGGCGUAAAGCGCGUGUAGGUGGAUUGGUGUGUCAGAUGUGAAAUCCCUGGGCUCAACCCAGGAACUGCACCUGAAACUACCAGUCUUGACGUGGUGGAGAGGGAAGUGGAAUUCCUGGUGUAGAGGUGAAAUUCGUAAGAUAUCAGGAGGACACCAGUGGCGAAGGCGCUUCUGGACACCAACUGACGCUGAGACGCGAAAGCGUGGGGAGCAAACAGG
rnacentral:rRNA from 1 species